GCGUCGCUGAUGACGUAAGGCGGCGGGGCCGAAGCAGUUCCGCUGGCUGGUGUGGACGCGGCGAGCCAGGCCCGGCGCCACCCGCUCGGCUCUUUCAGCGCCCGCUACAGCGGUCCGGACGCCGCCCGAACAUGGACUCCGCCGGCCAAGAUAUCAACCUGAAUUCUCCUAACAAAGGUCUGCUGUCUGAUUCCAUGACCGACGUCCCUGUCGGCACAGGUGUGGCUGCCCGGACUCCUGCUGUUGAGGGUCUGACAGAGGCUGAGGAGGAGGAGCUCAGGGCUGAGCUGACCAAGGUGGAAGAGGAAAUUGUCACUCUACGCCAGGUCCUGGCAGCCAAGGAGAGGCACUGUGGAGAGCUCAAGAGGAGGCUGGGCCUGUCCACCCUGGGGGGCUUGAAACAGAACCUGUCCCGGAGCUGGCAUGAUAUGCAGGUCUCUAACGCCUAUGUGAAAACUUCUGAGAAACUUGGAGAGUGGAAUGAGAAGGUGACCCAGUCAGACCUCUACAGGAAGACUCAGGAAACACUUUCACAGGCAGGACAGAAGACUUCAGCUGCCCUGUCCACGGUGGGCUCUGCCAUCAGCAGGAAGCUUGGAGACAUGAGGGCUCAUCCAUUCUCACACUCCUUUAGCAGCUACUCCAUCCGCCACUCAAUAAGUAUGCCGGCCAUGAGUGAGAUCUUGGGCUGUUGUUAGGGACCCUUUGGAGGCUGGCCCUCGCCCGAGGCCCUUCAGAGUUAGGAGGGCACCACCAUUUGCUCUUGACACCAGCACUCUUCCCUCUCUCUUUAAAGGAACUCUGCAACCUUCAAGUCAUUUGAGGACCGAGUGGGGACCAUAAAGUCUAAGGUUGUGGGUGACAGAGAGAAUGGCAGUGACAGCCUCCCGUCCUCAGCGGGGAGCGGUGACAAGCCCCUGUCGGAUCCCGCACCUUUCUAAGCCUGAGGUUGCUUCGCCCGCCGCAGAGCACACGCAACACACCCUCAGCAUCGCAGCCGCAGGCAGGCGGGUGAACAGAGCUGGCUUGGAGGACAGUCCUGCCCGUGCACACACAGACGCGGCUGCUGCGUUCGCAUGAAUUAGAGAACACGGUCUGUACACAGACGUUUCACACUAAAGUUUGUAGAUGAAGCAGAUCACUGUGCUGUGUCCUUCCUAGGGGUGCCGGAAGUGGACGGGGAGGAGGCUUCAGAGGAGCGAGCCAAAGCCCUGGCUCCCUUUGGGAAUCUUGCUAGCCCAUCAGUGUGGAAGGAUUGAAGAGUCCUAAGCAUAAAAUAGGUGGCAUUUUCUGACCUCUUCCUUCUCCUCCUUCCCUGACUCUCAGAAGGAAUGCAAUCACCCAGCAAGUCCUACCUGUUUGCAAUUUUAAAAUCUCAAAAUGCUGAACCAGAAAACUGUUUUCUGAGGCCCCCCCCAGAAAGGAAACUGAUCAGCAGCAGCUGCCUAAUUGUUCCACUAAUCUAGCUUUAACGGAAGCAAAUUCAUUAUUUUUUAAAUGCAGUGGACUUUUCAAAAAUUAAAACUAGGCAAAGCAGCUUUAGCCUCAUAGAGAAUAUUAUUUCUUCGGACUCAAGCUGAAAUACAAGCCUUACAUUGCCUUAUGCUUUAUUUCUUUGUAAUUUUUGUAUGUAUGUAGGUGAGGGUUCCUUAACGGCUGUGAGCACAGCGGGGCGUGUUACAGCAGCCUGCGUGGCAGCCUGUUCAGUUGGGUGUUUUAUUUCACGCUCACUCCAUCCCAGUGUACAAAACCUACCUGUCUUCUCAACCUUGGCCGAUCCCACUGGCUGCCCCGCUCUGCCCCAAAGAUCUUGAGCUGCUGGGGAUGGGAGGGGCCGGGAGAAGGAAAAGCUUGUCUUUAGCACCCCUUAAAGGAGCUGUGCCCCUUUACAGCACUGCCUCUGCAUGGGCCUGGCCCGGCUGGCUGGCAUUCGUCAGUGACUCCAGCCCGCCCAUUUGAAGCACUUCGGAUGAAAGGACCCCACAGGUCAGGUGGAGGGUGGGGCGCAGUCAUCAGCCAGGAUUGCUGUCGCCUCUUCUGAGCCACAAAGAUCUCUUGUUUUUAAGUGGUCAGACCCCGACAGCCUCUCUUACACCGGGGCCCCGUGUGUCAGGUGGUGUGGUCUACAGGGGCAGCUCUGUGCCUUACUGGCUCUUGGAAGGACGCUGAGGGUUUGCCUGCCGUGUACACGGCUCUGCCACUCCUGGGGGGAAGGGCUGCUCAGCUCAAGGUGCUCUGCUUACAGAGCCUGUGUCUUCUGACAGCCGUGUCCCCAGACAGUUCAGACACCCUUGGGGACGGCACUCCACACACGAUAAAGACGCAGGGGCUGGGGAACCCCGGCACUCGGUGUCCUUUGUCCAGGGUUAAAGUCGGCCUGUGGGAUGUGGUGAGAAGGCAGGCUGCACAGGUGUAACUGAUGUAUCUUUUCCUUAAAGUUGUAAUAAUGGGUAAUUUGUCAAUAAAGCAUUCCUUAGGGGAAAGUC